rnacentral:tRNA from 1 species
GCGGGGAUAGCUCAGUGGUAGAGCGUGUGCUUACAUGGGGUCCGGGGUUCAAUCCCCGGUACCUCCA